CUCCUACGGGAGGCAGCAGUGAGGAAUAUUGGACAAUGGUCGGAAGACUGAUCCAGCCAUGCCGCGUGCAGGAUGAAGGUCUUAUGGAUUGUAAACUGCUUUUGUAAGGGAAGAAUAAGGACUACGUGUAGUUUGAUGACGGUACCUUAUGAAUAAGCAUCGGCUAACUCCGUGCCAGCAGCCGCGGUAAUACGGAGGAUGCGAGCGUUAUCCGGAAUCAUUGGGUUUAAAGGGUCUGUAGGCGGGCUUGUAAGUCAGAGGUGAAAGCGCUCAGCUCAACUGAGCAACUGCCUUUGAAACUGUUGGUCUUGAAUGGUUGUGAAGUAGUUGGAAUGUGUAGUGUAGCGGUGAAAUGCUUAGAUAUUACACAGAACACCGAUAGCGAAGGCAUAUUACUAACAAUUAAUUGACGCUGAUGGACGAAAGCGUGGGGAGCGAACAGGAUUAGAUACCCUGGUAGUCCACGCUGUAAACGAUGGAUACUAGCUGUUUGGACGCGAGUUUGAGUGGCUAAGCGAAAGUGAUAAGUAUCCCACCUGGGGAGUACGUUCGCAAGAAUGAAACUCAAAGGAAUUGACGGGGGCCCGCACAAG
rnacentral:rRNA from 1 species